rnacentral:sRNA from 1 species
ACCAGGCGUGGUGGUGCACACCUGUAAUCCCAGCUACUUGGGAGGCUGAGGCAGGAGGAUGACAAGUUUGAGGUUGGACUAAACAACUUAAUGAGACCCUCUCUCUC